CUGUAUCCAGAUUUUGCAUCAGCGCUGAAGGCUAUGCGUGGGACUGCCUUAGAGCGAGGGGAGCCGUCGAGGGAUCAGGGGGAGAUGGCCGAGCUCGACCAACCUACGUCCACAGCUGUGGCAGCAGAUCUCUUGCCACGAGAUGGAGACUAGAUUUAUGAUUGUGCUUUUAUUUUCCCGUAAAACUUGCAUAUUACAAAUUAUUUUUGGGUUUCGAUAUUUUGGGUAUUAGGUAUGUCGGAUCUAGGAAAUUUGGUACCGAUUAGAUUGUUUAGAAUUUUGGAUCGUAUCGGUUUGGUACUCGGAUCAGUUCCAUUUGUUAAAAUUUAAAUCUAUAGAAAAUUACUGACUUAAAGCCUUAGAACAUCAAAGUCGCACUAACUCAAAAACUUAAUCGGCAUCUACGUCUAUAGUAUCUGAAGACUAAUUUGAGUUUUUAAGCGUUUCUCCUGCUCUCUGUAAACGUAGAGGAACUCAGCGGGUGCUCAUAAACUCACCAGGUUAAACACCAGAAAGAAAAAAACAGGUCGAGAAGGUAGCCUUGAUUUACAUCAUUUCCAUUCAACAGUACUGGAAUCAGUUCUCAUCUCUUUAGUUCACCUUAUACUUUCCAGUUUGACAUUAGGAAACUACAGACUCACAAAUCCAAAUGCACAGCUGAAACAUUUAAUCACACUGUCAACUCUCUUAAGAGAUUGUCUACUAAGGAUUCCCAAAAAAUCUUUCUGCAAAAGUUGUGGAGUACCCUGCUACAUAUGUAAGAGGUGAAGGUAUGGUUUCAGUUUCUGUAUCAUAAAUAUAAAAAAAACUUGAUGAAUUGUAUGCAUCCAUCUCUUGCAAACGAGAAGAAUUUUGAGUCAAAAAGCUUUGUCUUCCAAGAUAAUUUGAAAACCAUUUCUCUUCUCUCUCAUCAAACGCAGAGCCAGACCAUUCCGCAUCGACACACCUUUUGCCACAGAACUCGGUUUAGACAAUAGAAUCUUUAACAGACUCAUACCAGGAGCUAUUACCACUGCAAAAUGAAAGAAUCAAGACAACAAUUCAAGUCUCGUCUCGGACAAAAGUUUAUGUUAUUACUAACAGAAUAUAUUUAUACCCAAAUAUAAGUCUUUUGGCUCCCAAAUCCCAAUCUUUCAAGAUGGAGUGGUAAGAGAAAGAGAAAUUAGGAAGAUGGUUGAGUGUAUGAGUUUAGUCCACGUAAACAAUAUUUGUAAAACACACAGAAACAAACCAUUAUUUUUGUCUGACUGUGGUUGUAUGAUUAAGGAGGACGUCGAUGGACUGGUGCCGGGAAAUAAACCGUAAAUGUAGAUCCACCGUACUGCUCUGUUUUCUGUCUCUUUAACACAACCUCGAUAGAUGUUGCCUCUGUUCUGGUCUUCUCCUCCGUUUUCCAAUCUCUUCCUCCACCUUCAGUUUUUGUCGUCGCGGGAACUUGUCUGAAUCUAGCAUGUCCAGUUUUAGAUCUACCGAGAAGAGAUAUAACCUUGACAACGUCAGUGACCGCCGUUAUCUAAGAGGCUGAGCUUUAUAUAGAAGACCUUCCACCGGUUAGAUAUGAAGAGGUUGAGCUGGAAUUAAUGCUACGGAGUGGGGCGAGUGAGAUGAAACAUGUUAAUGGUCGGAUCAAAGAAGUAAAUAAAUGGAAACGGAAGGCGUUACAGAAAGUGAAUCGGCGACUGCUUCAUCGGAAUGAAAAGAGCUCAGACCAAAUAACCUACACUAAGUUUUGUGCUUAGAGAAAAAAAAACAAUUGGGCUAGGACAAAAUAACCUAAUAUAAGCCCAAAUAGAAAUUACUUUGGGAAUAAACUAUACGAAGCUCAUAAUGGUUGCGAAAGGAUUAUUGAGAACAGAAAAAAAAUUGGUUUGUUGGUUUUUUUUAAGUGCCAGGUGUCUAAAAAAGCCCCUAUGUUAAUGAUGAUGUGGAUGGCCUAAGGAGAGAGACAACUCUCCUUUAUUAUUAUAGAUAGAUAGAUACUAUUCCUUCAUUUCGUAAUAUUAAUUUUCGUGUCUAUGAAGGUAAUUAUGUACAAACUGACUAAUUAAUCAAAGUUAUAAAGGGACAUAUAUACAUUCGCCAUUUUUUUUGGACAACACAUAUACAAAAAGUUUUAACACUUUGAGACUCACGAUUCUGGUAUUUGAUUGGGUUUGCCGGUUUGGUUUUAUUCGGUUUGAUAACCAGUGCAAAACCAUUCCUUCACACUCUUUCACAGAAAACACCCAACAUCUUCCCUACAAUAGGUUAACUCCCAAUCUUCUGCUUCUAUUUGAUUUGGGUGCAGCGAAGAUGGAUCGUAUCGGAAGUCUCCCUGACGAGGUUCUUUCUCAUAUACUAUCUUCCCUAACGACAAAGGAAGCUGCUAUAACCUCGAUUCUCUCCAAAAGAUGGCGCAAUCUCUUUACACUCGUCCCUAGCCUCGACAUUGACGACUCUGUGUUUCUUAACCCGGAAGAGGGUAAGCGGGAACGAGAUGGUAUCCUCCAAAGCUUCAUGGAUUUCGUGGAUAAGGUUUUGGCUUCGCAGGGCGAUACUCCCAUCAAGAAAUUCUCCUUGAAAUGCAAAACUGGCAUCGACACAGAUCGUGUGAAUCAAUGGAUAUGUAAUGUCCUCCAACGUGGCGCUACAAGCCUUGAACUUGUCCUCGAUUUUCCUGGAUCAGACGACAAUUGGGAUUCCGAUUAUAUGUAUCUUCUGCCUAGAGAGCUGUUCGUUAGUAGCAAACUGGUGGAGCUGAAAUUAAGAAGCGAGUUUGGUGUUGAUUGGUGGCGUGGAGGUACGGACACUUUCUUACCAAUGCUUAAGACUCUCCGCUUUGAAUCUACGUGGAUUCUGUUGUGUGAUGAUCUCGAGGUGUUUCUCUCUGCUUUCCCUGUUCUCGAGGAGUUCUACAUGGCUGAUAUCGAGUGGCCUCAAUCGGACCAAUCCGCGUCGAGUCAGAGCCUCAGGAAGUUAACUAUCCAUGCCGGCGGUUUCCAAGAUUUUCGAAAUCCGAAGAGGAUUUCGUUUGAUAGUCCGAGUCUCGUUUACCUUGAGUAUUCUGAUUUUGUUGCCGCGGAUUAUCCGAAAGUUAACUUGCCCAAUCUAGCCGAGGCUGUGCUCGACCUUAAGGUGACUCUACAUCAGAUUGACUUAAUACGAGAACCAGAUGAUGAAGAUGAUGUUUCUCUACGUCUUGGAAAUGUGUGGAAGCUCAUAAGUGGCUUAAGAAAUGUUAAUAAACUUUUCAUUUCUGCUGAGACUCUUGAGGUCAGUUGUUAUUUAUCUGAAACAUCAAAUGUUUUUUGAAACAAAUGUUGAGAUGGGGUUUGUCUUUGUUUCAGGUACUCUCUCUAUGCUGUGAGUCGAUGCCGGUGUUCAACAACCUCAAAUCUCUACAUAUUAUUUCUGAUGCGGAUCUGGGAUGGCAAGCGAUGCCGGCUCUCUUAAGGAACUCUCCACAUUUAGAAACUCUAAUCCUUAAGGUAUAUAUAUGCUCAAAACAUUGUACAAAGUCACUUACUGACUUGCUUCCUCUUUCAAGGGUCUCUUACACCAUGUGACUGACAAGUGCGGGGAUGCUUGCGACUGCAUAUCUCGGGAGGACAAAGGUCGUUCACUAUCAUCAUGUCCAGUGAAGAAGUUGCAGAUCAGAGGGUUCAAAGGAACAGUUAGAGAGAAAGGGAUGAUAAGGCAUUUCUUGGAGUCUUUCCCAUGUCUGGAUGAGAUGGAAGUAUAUGCCGACCAGAGUGAUAAUGAUCCUACAAACGUGGAAGUCAAUAGAAUUUAUAAAAUCGUUGCAUACAAGGUUCACGCGGAGGACGUUUCGACGGAGACUGUGCUACAGUCGAAGACUAUGUCCCAAACCCAGAUGGAGGAGAUCUCCUCUCAGGUAUAUAUUGAAUUACAUUAAAAAAGAAACCAUUACGGUUUUGAAUUAACUAAUCAGUCCUUUUCUUGGAUUCUGCAGUUUACACCCCGCAAUAACAGAAAUAAGUACGAUUUUGUUUACAUCUUGCAUGGAUCUCCUCCUCCUCCAACACCUCAGGAUAUGUCUGAGGACUACCUUAAAGAACAGCUUGAUGCUGCUGAGACCAAACUUGCGGAACUUAAUGAGGAAUAUAAGGAGAGGCAACGAGUCCAUGAUGCUAUGUUUGAUGGAAUUGUUGAGCAGUACCCGAUGAUAGCAUCGGCAUUGAAGGCUCGACAAGCUGCAACAGACUCAGAGGCGUCUAACGAUCAGGAGAAGAAGCGGGACGUCGAGGCUCUGUUGGAAAUCAUGGGGGACCUGUAUCCAGAUUUUGCAUCAGCGCUGAAGGCUAUGCGUGGGACUGCCUUAGAGCGAGGGGAGCCGUCGAGGGAUCAGGGGGAGAUGGCCGAGCUCGACCAACCUACGUCCACAGCUGUGGCAGCAGAUCUCUUGCCACGAGAUGGAGACUAGAUUUAUGAUUGUGCUUUUAUUUUCCCGUAAAACUUGCAUAUUACAAAUUAUUUUUGGGUUUCGAUAUUUUG
rnacentral:lncRNA from 1 species